UACGAAGGGUGCAAGCGUUAUUCGGAGUUACUGGGCGUAAAGAGCGCGUAGGCGGUUUUUUAAGUCAGUUGUUAAAUUUCCCGGCUUAACCGGGAACCUGCAAGUGAAACUGGAAAACUAGAGUGUAAGAGAGAGAAGUGGAAUUCUCGGAGCAGCGGUAAAAUGCGUAGAUCUCGAGAGGAACACCGGAGGCGAAGGCGGCUUCUUGGCUUACAACUGACGCUCAAGUGCGAAGGCGUGGGGAGCAAACAGG
rnacentral:rRNA from 1 species